GACGAACGCUGGCGGCGUGCCUAAUACAUGCAAGUAGAACGCUGAAGAGAGGAGCUUGCUCUUCUUGGAAGAGUUGCGAACGGGUGAGUAACGCGUAGGUAACCUGCCUUGUAGCGGGGGAUAACUAUUGGAAACGAUAGCUAAUACCGCAUAACAAUGGAUGACACAUGUCAUUUAUUUGAAAGGGGCAACUGCUCCACUACAAGAUGGACCUGCGUUGUAUUAGCUAGUAGGUGAGGUAACGGCUCACCUAGGCGACGAUACAUAGCCGACCUGAGAGGGUGAUCGGCCACACUGGGACUGAGACACGGCCCAGACUCCUACGGGAGGCAGCAGUAGGGAAUCUUCGGCAAUGGGGGCAACCCUGACCGAGCAACGCCGCGUGAGUGAAGAAGGUUUUCGGAUCGUAAAGCUCUGUUGUAAGUCAAGAACGAGUGUGAGAGUGGAAAGUUCACACUGUGACGGUAGCUUACCAGAAAGGGACGGCUAACUACGUGCCAGCAGCCGCGGUAAUACGUAGGUCCCGAGCGUUGUCCGGAUUUAUUGGGCGUAAAGCGAGCGCAGGCGGUUUGAUAAGUCUGAAGUUAAAGGCUGUGGCUCAACCAUAGUUCGCUUUGGAAACUGUCAAACUUGAGUGCAGAAGGGGAGAGUGGAAUUCCAUGUGUAGCGGUGAAAUGCGUAGAUAUAUGGAGGAACACCGGUGGCGGAAGCGGCUCUCUGGUCUGUAACUGACGCUGAGGCUCGAAAGCGUGGGGAGCGAACAGG
rnacentral:rRNA from 1 species